rnacentral:rRNA from 1 species
AACGAACGCUGGCGGCAGGCUUAACACAUGCAAGUCGAACGCGCCCUUCGGGGCGAGUGGCAGACGGGUGUGUAACGCGUGGGAACCUACCUUUUGGUACGGAAUAACUCAGGGAAACUUGAGCUAAUACCGUAUGUGCCCUUACUUUUAAUCGGGUUUGGGGAAAGAUUCAUCGCCAAAGGAUGGGCCCGCGUCGGAUUAGCUAGUUGGUGGGGUAAUGGCCUACCAAGGCGACGAUCCGUAGCUGGGCUGAGAGGAUGAUCAGCCACACUGGGCCUGAGACACGGCCCAGACUCCUACGGGAGGCAGCAGUGGGGAAUAUUGGACAAUGGGGGCAACCCUGAUCCAGCCAUGCCGCGUGAGUGAUGAAGGCCUUAGGGUUGUAAAGCUCUUUCGCCGGUGAGGAUAAUGACGGUAACCGGAGAAGAAGCCCCGGCUAACUUCGUGCCAGCAGCCGCGGUAAUAC